rnacentral:lncRNA from 1 species
CGAGGCGGGGCGCGGCGGGGCGCGUGCGCGCUAACGGCCCCCCGGGCGGGGGCGAGGGCAUUGGCGAGCUUCGCGUCUGUGAGGUGUGGGAUGGGGAGGCGGUGAAGGGGCGGCGGGAGGAUGGAGAACUAGGCGGUCCUGGGCGCUGGCUGUGGCAGGAUGAACCCGAAGCGGAGCGGGCGAGCCGCUGAGGAGGAGAGCCAGGACAAGCCUGAGCUGUGUGACAGAAUAACAAGCUUUAGAAAAUAAGGAGUGAAAACAUCAUUCAAUAUCCUUUUGACUCUCAAGCUUCUAUCGGUGAACUUCUGUUGCCCAGCCACUUGUUGAUGAUCACUGCAUGAACUUAUCAGAAAAAAGUUAUGGAUCUCUUUGAAAAAAAACGAUGGAAGACAUGAAUCUAAAUGAAGAAUGUAAAGCUCCUUUAAGAGAUCAAGACUUGACCACAAAAUGUGAGGUGGUUGUCCCAUGCAUUUCUGCAACUGCCAAAUCUAUGGAACACAGCAUUUUUCUAUGAAAAAAAACACAGCAAAGAUCUUAAAUGCCUCAUCUGUGUGUAGGAGCUUCCUUUGGAGCUUCAGCAGACUAUAGCAAAUGGUCUAACCGAAGCAAAUCCUUUUAUAUCCAGGCUUUUGUAUCCAAGAUGUAAUACAUGGACUUGACUCAACGAAUGCACAAUCUGAAAGGACUAUAAACUUAGAAAAGUGAAAUAUAUGUGCAUAUGUAGAAUUUGUAAAUAGAAUAAAUAUGAAUCAUUUAAUAGCUUAUUCCUGUUU